GAACUGAAGACCAUCAUCGCCGGGAAUUAGUCAGGCCAGUGUCCUUCCAUAUUACUUUCUAAGGUACUUUUGGAUAAUUUCCUCCAUUGCUGAUAACCAGAUAUACGUAAGACUGGUAAGAAAAUAACACAAUUAUUCUAUUCAUUAAUAUUUUGAACAAAUUAAUUACUGAUUGCUAAACUUUAUUGAUUUUAGUUAUUGUAAUUAGUCAUAAUAAUUAUAAUAAUGUAAUAUAAAAUUGUAUGUUUCCCAAAUAAAAA
rnacentral:misc_RNA from 1 species